rnacentral:lncRNA from 10 species
AGACUGCUUCCCACCAGUAGAAUUUUUAUGGUCCCUCAGACUCCUUUUAUUUCAUAGUCUCUCUGUUCCUUGUACUCCAAGCUGGUAGUGUUUAUGCUAAAAUAAUUUUCUCACUUGCUUGUGAAAAUCUAAGAGGAUCUCUUGAAAGGACUCUGUGAAAUUGAAUAAUCUGAUCUUUAGGUAUAUCUGAGGUUAGAGCAAAGUUUGCACGAUCAUACCUUUGGAAUUUUCUGCAUACUGUAUUUUUGGAAGCAAUUUCUUAAUUUCAGCAGUUUUUGCUUUCUGGAGAUGCUGGGAAUUUUCAAUAUCAUCAACUUGCAGUUCUUUUUUGUUUAAAAGACAAAAACAGAUUUGUUUAAAUCUUACCGUAUUUUAUAAGCAACAAGAAACCAGCACUUUGCUUGAAAAUCUCUU